rnacentral:rRNA from 1 species
AUUGAACGCUGGCGGCAGGCCUAACACAUGCAAGUCGAACGAGUGGCGGACGGGUGAGUAAUGUCUGGGAAACUGCCUGACGGAGGGGGAUAACUAAUGGAAACGGUAGCUAAUACCGCAUACCAUCAGAUGUGCCCAGCUGGGAUUAGCUUGUUGGUGGGGUAACGGCUCACCAAGGCGACGAUCCCUAGCUGGUCUGCGAGGGUGACCGGCCACACUGGAACUGAGACACGGUCCAGACUCCGACGGGAGGCAGCAGUGGGGAAUAUUGGACAAUGGGCGCAAGCCUGAUGGAGCCAUGCCGCGUGUAUGAAGAAGGCUGUCGGGUUGUAAAGUACUUUCAUCGGGGAGGCGUUACCCGCAGAGGAAGCACCGGCUAACUCCGUGCCAGCAGCCGCGGUAAUUC